UUUAUGGAGAGUUUGAUCCUGGCUCAGGAUGAACGCUGGCGGCGUGCCUAAUACAUGCAAGUCGAGCGAACUGACGAGGAGCUUGCUCCUUUGACGUUAGCGGCGGACGGGUGAGUAACACGUGGG
rnacentral:rRNA from 1 species